CCUGGGGAGUACGGCCGCAAGGUUGAAACUCAGAGGAAUUGACGGGGACCCGCACAAGCGGUGGAUGAUGUGGUUUAAUUCGAUGCAACGCGAAAAACCUUACCCACCUUUGACAUGUACGGAAGUUGCCAGAGAUGGCUUCGUGCUCGAAAGAGAACCGUAACACAGGUGCUGCAUGGCUGUCGUCAGCUCGUGUCGUGAGAUGUUGGGUUAAGUCCCGCAACGAGCGCAACCCUUGUCAUUAGUUGCUACGAAAGGGCACUCUAAUGAGACUGCCGGUGAUAAACCGGAGGAAGGUGGGGAUGACGUCAAGUCCUCAUGGCCCUUAUAGGUGGGGCUACACACGUCAUACAAUGGCUGGUACAGAGGGUUGCCAACCCGCGAGGGGGAGCUAAUCCCAUAAAACCAGUCGUAGUCCGGAUCGCAGUCUGCAACUCGACUGCGUGAAGUCGGAAUCGCUAGUAAUCGCGGAUCAGAAUGUCGCGGUGAAUACGUUCCCGGGUCUUGUACACACCGCCCGUCACACCAUGGGAGCGGGUUCUGCCAGAAGUAGUUAGCCUAACCGCAAGGAGGGCGAUUACCACGGCAGGGUUCGUGACUGGGGUGAAG
rnacentral:rRNA from 1 species